AGUCAAGUGAAUAAGUGCAUCAGGUGGAUGCCUUGGCGAUGAUAGGCGAAGAAGGACGUGUAAGCCUGCGAAAAGCACGGAGAAGCUGGCAAAAAAGCAAUGAUACCGUGAUGUCCGAAUGGGGAAACCCACUGCACUCGUGCAGUAUCCUAGUCUGAAUACAUAGGGCUAGAGAAGCGAACCUGGAGAACUGAACCAUCUAAGUACCCAGAGGAAAAGAAAUCAACCGAGAUUCCGCAAGUAGUGGCGAGCGAACGCGGAAAAGCCUGUAUAUGAUAAUGGUUAGGAUAGAAGAAGGGAUUGGAAACUUCCGCCAUAGUGGGUGAUAGCCCCGUAUUUGAAAUCUUAACCAUGGUACUAAGUAUACGAGAAGUAGGGCGGGACACGUGAAAUCCUGUCUGAAUAUGGGGGGACCAUCCUCCAAGGCUAAAUACUCAUCAUCGACCGAUAGUGAACCAGUACCGUGAGGGAAAGGCGAAAAGAACCCCGGAAGGGGAGUGAAAUAGAACCUGAAACCUGAUGCAUACAUACAGUGGGAGCAUCUUUGUGGUGUGACUGCGUACCUUUUGUAUAAUGGGUCAACGACUUACAUUCAGUAGCGAGCUUAACCGAGUAGGGGAGGCGUAGGGAAACCGAGUCUUAAUAGGGCGACUAGUUGCUGGGUGUAGACCCGAAACCGAGUGAUCUAUCCAUGGCCAGGAUGAAGGUGCGGUAAAACGCAUUGGAGGUCCGAACCCACGCAUGUUGCAAAAUGCGGGGAUGAGCUGUGGAUAGGGGUGAAAGGCUAAACAAACUCGGAGAUAGCUGGUUCUCCCCGAAAACUAUUUAGGUAGUGCCUCGAGUAUGAGACUGAUGGGGGUAAAGCACUGUUAUGGCUAGGGGGUUAUUGCAACUUACCAACCCAUGGCAAACUAAGAAUACCAUCAAGUUGCUCCUCGGGAGACAGACAUCGGGUGCUAACGUCCGGUGUCAAGAGGGAAACAACCCAGACCGCCAGCUAAGGUCCCAAAUGAUAGAUUAAGUGGUAAACGAAGUAGGAAGGCACAGACAGCCAGGAUGUUGGCUUAGAAGCAGCCAUCAUUCAAAGAAAGCGUAAUAGCUCACUGGUCGAGUCUUCCUGCGCGGAAGAUGUAACGGGGCUCAAAUCUAUAACCGAAGCUGCGGAUAUACUUUUGUAUAUGGUAGGGGAGCGUUCUGUAAGCCUGUGAAGGUGACUUGUAAAGGUUGCUGGAGGUAUCAGAAGUGCGAAUGUUGACAUGAGUAGCGAUAAAGCGGGUGAAAAGCCCGCUCGCCGAAAGCCCAAGGUUUCCUACGCAACGUUCAUCGGCGUAGGGUGAGUCGGCCCCUAAGGCGAGGCAGAAAUGCGUAGUCGAUGGGAAACAGGUUAAUAUUCCUGUACUUUGAUUCAAUGCGAUGUGGGGACGGAGAAGGUUAGGUUAGCAAACUGUUGGAAUAGUUUGUUUAAGCCAGUAGGUGGAAAGAGUAGGCAAAUCCGCUCUUUCUUAACACCGAGACGUGAUGACGAGUGUCUACGGACAUGAAGUGACCAAUACC
rnacentral:rRNA from 1 species